rnacentral:tRNA from 1 species
GCGGCGGUAGUCUAGCCUGGUUUAGGAUGGCGGCCUUCCAAGCCGUUGAUCCCGUCAGGCCCCCACAAGGGGGCUGGGAUAGGGUUCGAAUCCCGGCCGCCGCACCA